AAUAAAAUGCCUGAACAAAGGGUUAUCUUGAUAGGAUAAAUUACGUAUUUACUACUUUUAUUA
rnacentral:tRNA from 1 species